rnacentral:lncRNA from 1 species
CUAGGGCUGCUCCCUCGGCAUAUGGAGGUUCCCAGGCUAGGGGCCUAAUUGGAGCUGUAGCCGACGGCCUACACCACAGCCACAGCAACGCGGGAUCCGAGCCACGUCUGCGACCUAUACCACAGUUCACGGCAACGCCGGAUCCUUUAACCCACUGAACAAGGCCAGGGACCAAACCUGCAACCUCAUGGUUCCUAGUCGGAUUCGUUAACCACUGAGCCACAACAGGAACUCCUAAUAACAUAUAUUUCUUAGAAUCACAACCUAAAAGGUUUGAAACCUACCAGCCUACACUAAUAGAUUUAAAACAAAAAACUCCCGGAGUCCCCAUUGUGGCUCAGCGGUCAAUGAACCCAACUAGUACCCAUAAGGAAACAGGUUCGAUCCCUGGCCUCACUCAGAGGGUUAAGGAUCCAGCAUUGCAGUGAGCUGUGGCGUAGGUUGCAGACGCGGCUGGAAUCCCAUGUUGGUGUGGCUGUGGUGUAGGCCGGCAGCUGUAGCUGCAAUUCAAACCCUAGCCUGGGAAUCUCCAUAUGCUGCAGGUGCAACCCUGAAAAAAAAAGUUCUCCUGUGGCACAGCAGGUUAAGGAUCCUGCCUUGUCAAUACAGAGGUGUGGUUCGCUCCCUGGCCCAGAAACUUCCAAAGGCCACAAGACAGGCUGAAGGGGGGAAAAAAAAAUCCCUAAAAGGAAUCCUUGAAGGAAUAUAAUCUCAAUAACAACCAACUAUGCAAUAAACAUUUUCAAUAAACUUUUAAGGAAAACAACAAAAGAGAAACACUCAAAAAUACAUUUUUCCUCUAUGUUAAAUAUGGUUUUAUGAAACACAGAAGGCAUGGUAUCUACCCUAGACUUAAAAACCUAGCAUGAUCUAGCAUGUAAAAAAAGCACAUUCUGGGAGUUCCCGUUGUGGCGCAGUGGUUAACGAAUCCGACUAGGAACCAUGAGGUUGCGGGUUCGGUCCCUGCCCUUGCUCAGUGGGUUAACGAUCCGGCGUUGCUGUGAGCUGUGGUGUAGGUUGCAGACGUGGCUCGGAUCCUGCGUUGCUGUGGCUCUGGCGUAGGCCAGUGGCUACAGCUCCGAUUUGCCCCUAGUCUAGGAUCCUCCACAUGCCGUGGGUAAGGCCCUAAAAAGACAAAAAAAAAAAAAAAGUUAUGUAGUGAAAAAGCUACUUUGGGAUCUACCCAUAUGUAUUACUUCCUCUUACUGUUACUUUCAUCAACAAUGUUAAAGGAAACUCCAUCUUCAACCUGAGCACACACAAAUUUUUGUCAGAAUAAAAAAGUUACAUACAAUACUCUUAAAUUGUUUUCUACCCACUGUCCAAGCCUCACUGAACUGUGCUCUUCAGAACAUAAGCAAGUGCCUAUUUUUCUGGUUGCACAAAACUUUCGGCAACACAAGACUCUAUAGAAUACUUAUGUAUAACGUGAUGAAUCUACUCAGAUCAUUCGCUCACACUGUGAUUUUCUUUGAGGUAAAAUGUGUGAAACUAUUUUUGGAACCCUAAUUUGCCAAAUUUAUUUUCAAACUGCAAACUGCAGAAUAAAUCAGUAUGGAAACACUAAACAGAUGACUUUUUUUUUUAUUACUUACCUCAUAGGCUACUAUCCCUCAGCAAGAACUGAGUUUUCUCCCCAACCUUUACAUAUUUGUCAGUUUCUACUUCAAUCAGUUGUAGAAAGCAGAUAAAAUUUGUAUAGCAUUACUUAUAAUGCUAGUACUUGAUAAGGGUGACUAAAAAUCAAAAUAAUUGGCAUACUUAGCAAAAACCAAGUACACACAAUUAGGCCUUGAAAGAACUAGAAGCAAAGCAGUCCAGUUCUAAAUUCAAGAGCAAGAGCUCUAGAAGACCUAGAUGCUCCUGACAGCUUUCUUCUCUAAUAAAGGUUCAGUUUCAAGAAUAAUCCUGGCUUUAUUUCUACACAACUAUAUAUAGAGUAUGGUACUGGGAAACUUAUUCAUAAGAAUAAGCAUAAUUACUUUGACUCAAGGCCAAAUACUCAAGACACAGAGGCAUGUUUCUGCCCAAUGGCUUCAUCUAAAACUUUAGCAUUAGUUUGCCCAAUUUUUCCUUUAGUUUCUCUUAAAUCAGUUCACUCUCCAUGUAAGUACUCAUCAGACCAUAAACUUAAAAGUUCAGAGUCAGAGUCUAAAAGAAUUAGAUCUCGAACUAUGUCCCUCCAAUCAAAAUCAUUUCAGUUUCCUAAUGAAACAGAUCUCAACUGCAGAGUCAAUCCAAGGAACCUGGCCUGCCAGUCUGAUGGCCAACUUUGUUUUAGUCAUACCGCACCAGAAAUACUUAUACCGGGGUCGACAUUUGGUUUUGCAAGGCAGGCAUUUAACACUCAACAAGUCAUUUAUCUAGCUGAUCAAAAAAGAAAGUUCAAGGCAGGUAUGUACUAAAUCUAUUGGCUCUUAGACCACUAAAGUUACACGGCUGCUUAUUUUGUUUUCAGACAAGAAGAAAUUAGUCAUCACUAGCCACAGGUACAAGCAGAUUACCAAAUCACACUCAGAUUUUUAGCAGUGACACUUCUGCAUGUUAAACUGUCUUAAGAUAGUAAGUUUCCCUUAAGUAUUUUGUCAACUAUGUGCCAGGGCACUGUGCUAUGUAAACCAAAAUGGGUUCCACAUCAAAUCAAGGCCCUUAUAACCAAGACACCAUGCUUUAAAAGCAGAGGAGCUG